GACGAACGCUGGCGGCGUGCUUAACACAUGCAAGUCGAGCGGUAAGGCCCUUUCGGGGGGUACACGAGCGGCGAACGGGUGAGUAACACGUGGGUGACCUGCCCUCAGCUCUGGGAUAAGCCUGGGAAACCGGGUCUAAUACCGGAUAUGACUCCAUGACGCAUGUUGUGGGGGUGGAAAGCCUUGUGCGGCUGAGGAUGGGCCCGCGGCCUAUCAGCUUGUUGGUGGGGUGAUGGCCUACCAAGGCGACGACGGGUAGCCGGCCUGAGAGGGCGACCGGCCACACUGGGACUGAGACACGGCCCAGACUCCUACGGGAGGC
rnacentral:rRNA from 1 species